CCUGAGGCUGGAGGGAGCCUUUGUUCCAGAGGACGGGGCUACAGGAGCAGCGUUUAUCGGAUUUCUGAGCACAUACCGCACUGAACUGCAGUGUAAUUCUUAAGUAAGACGUAUUUUUAGUGCGUGUUAGUUUUAAUUAGGUUUAAACGUAGCUGAGGAAGUAGAAGUGCCAGGCAAAUGCACGUUACUUUUGGCCCCUCUCGCUGGUGGGGAAGGUGGGCCCGUGCCAGCCCCAUCUUCAUGUCGGUGAAGAGCAAAACCCAGGUUGGAUGUGCUGAGGUGUUUCCUAGAGGAAAGGCAGUAAUUCGAAUUGUGUGUGAAACAACCACCUCACACUUCCAGGUUGAACACAUAAAACACACCAUGAGAAAGCUCGAAGCUGACAUACGGAAGGCUUGGAGCAUCUUGCAUCUCUGACUGUGCUGAACUUCCUCCUGGCAGGAUUCCUCUGAAACUCUUGGGAACUCCAGGCACCACAGGGAUGAUCAACUUCAGAAAGAAGUUGAGAUGGAAGGCGCCAAAAUGUGCUAAAUGGGGUUGGAAUAUCCCUUUCUCUGAGGCAUUGCCUGCAGUGACCAACAAGC